UGGGGAAUAUUGGGCAAUGGGGGCAACCCUGACCCAGCGACGCCGCGUGGGGGAAGACGGCCUUCGGGUUGUAAACCUCUUUUGUACGGGAAGAAGGAAGUGACGGUACUGUACGAAUAAGUCCCGGCUAACUACGUGCCAGCAGCCGCGGUAAUACGUAGGGGACGAGCGUUGUCCGGAAUUACUGGGCGUAAAGGGCGCGCAGGCUGUGCUGCAAGUCAGCUGUUAAAUGUCUGGGCUUAACCCGGGCAUGCGGUUGAGACUGCGGUGCUGGAGUGCUGUAGAGGCAAGUGGAAUUCCCAGUGUAGCGGUGAAAUGCGUAGAGAUUGGGGAGAACACCGGUGGCGAAGGCGACUUGCUGGGCAGCAACUGACGCUGAGGCGCGAAAGCCGGGGGAGCAAACGG
rnacentral:rRNA from 1 species